UACGUAGGGGGCAAGCGUUGUCCGGAAUCAUUGGGCGUAAAGAGCGUGUAGGCGGCCCGAUAAGUCCGCUGUGAAAGUCCAGGGCUCAACCCUCGAAUGCCGGUGGAUACUGUCGGGCUAGAGUGCGGAAGAGGCGAGUGGAAUUCCUGGUGUAGCGGUGAAAUGCGCAGAUAUCAGGAGGAACACCAAUUGCGAAGGCAGCUCGCUGGGACGUAACUGACGCUGAGACGCGAAAGCGUGGGGAGCAAACAGG
rnacentral:rRNA from 1 species